GCCUGGGUGGCUCAGUCGGUUGAGCGUCCGACUUUGGCUCAGGUCACGAUCUCACGGUCCGUGAGUUCGAGCCCCGCGUCAGGCU
rfam:Felis catus isolate Cinnamon breed Abyssinian chromosome D3, whole genome shotgun sequence.